GUCUAAGCCGAGAAAAUCAAAGUUAAAGUUUAUGUACAUCAACAUGAAUCUGUAUCACAUAUACAGAUACGACACGCUUAUGAUUUUUCUUUCUGUUUUCUCAUGAAUUAUUAAUGAGUUUUUUAAUAUACAAUAACAGGUGGGAAAUUUGUCGUCGCUGACCAAAAAAUUGCGGGCAGAAACAAAGCUCAUUGCAUUUACAUUCAAAACAAAGCAGAAAGUUAGCAAGAAGCUGUUUUAGCUGACGAUUUUUUGCUUUCCAUUCAACGAUUUGCAAAUUAUUGGUUAUUCUUUUAAAAGUCGAUCAUGAAUUCUUUGUUUUGGGAUGAUUGUUUUGUAAUCGAGUGAUUGGAAGAAGUUAAUAUGGCGACGUGAACAUGGGAGUAAAUACCGUAUACGUCGAUCUAUGACUUGUUUAAAACCGUAAUAAACGAAGAAAGACGUGAUUUGAGAAUGAAAUGUAAGUUGAAAUUAACUUUAUAUGCCUCAA